rnacentral:rRNA from 1 species
UCGAACGAUGAAGGGAGCUUGCUCCUGGAUUAGUGGCGAACGGGUGAGUAACACGUGAGUAACCUGCCCUUAACUCUGGGAUAAGCCUGGGAAACUGGGUCUAAUACCGGAUAUGACUCCUCAUCGCAUGGUGGGGGGUGGAAAGCUUUUUGUGGUUUUGGAUGGACUCGCGGCCUAUCAGCUUGUUGGUGAGGUAAUGGCUCACCAAGGCGACGACGGGUAGCCGGCCUGAGAGGGUGACCGGCCACACUGGGACUGAGACACGGCCCAGACUCCUACGGGAGGCAGCAGUGGGGAAUAUUGCACAAUGGGCGAAAGCCUGAUGCAGCGACGCCGCGUGAGGGAUGACGGCCUUCGGGUUGUAAACCUCUUUCAGUAGGGAAGAAGCGAAAGUGACGGUACCUGCAGAAGAAGCGCCGGCUAACUACGUGCCAGCAGCCGCGGUAAUACGUAGGGCGCAAGCGUUAUCCGGAAUUAUUGGGCGUAAAGAGCUCGUAGGCGGUUUGUCGCGUCUGCUGUGAAAGACCGGGGCUCAACUCCGGUUCUGCAGUGGGUACGGGCAGACUAGAGUGAUGUAGGGGAGACUGGAAUUCCUGGUGUAGCGGUGAAAUGCGCAGAUAUCAGGAGGAACACCGAUGGCGAAGGCAGGUCUCUGGGCAUUAACUGACGCUGAGGAGCGAAAGCAUGGGGAGCGAACAGG